AGGAAUAUUGGUCAAUGGGCGUAAGCCUGAACCAGCCAAGUCGCGUGAGGGAUGAAGGUUCUAUGGAUCGUAAACCUCUUUUAUAAGGGAAUAAAGUGCGGGACGUGUCCCGUUUUGUAUGUACCUUAUGAAUAAGGAUCGGCUAACUCCGUGCCAGCAGCCGCGGUAAUACGGAGGAUCCGAGCGUUAUCCGGAUUUAUUGGGUUUAAAGGGUGCGUAGGCGGCCUUUUAAGUCAGCGGUGAAAGUCUGUGGCUCAACCAUAGAAUUGCCGUUGAAACUGGGAGGCUUGAGUAUGUUUGAGGCAGGCGGAAUGCGUGGUGUAGCGGUGAAAUGCUUAGAUAUCACGCAGAACCCCGAUUGCGAAGGCAGCCUGCCAAGCCAUGACUGACGCUGAUGCACGAAAGCGUGGGGAUCAAACAGGAUUAGAUACCCUGGUAGUCCACGCAGUAAACGAUGAUCACUAGCUGUUUGCGAUACAGUGUAAGCGGCACAGCGAAAGCGUUAAGUGAUCCACCUGGGGAGUACGCCGGCAACGGUGAAACUCAAAGGAAUUGACGGGGGCCCGCACAAGCGGAGGAACAUGUGGUUUAAUUCGAUGAUACGCGAGGAACCUUACCCGGGUUUGAACGCAUUCGGACCGAGGUGGAAACACCUCUUCUAGCAAUAGCCGUUUGCGAGGUGCUGCAUGGUUGUCGUCAGCUCGUGCCGUGAGGUGUCGGCUUAAGUGCCAUAACGAGCGCAACCCUUGCCACUAGUUACUAACAGGUAAAGCUGAGGACUCUGGUGGGACUGCCAGCGUAAGCUGCGAGGAAGGCGGGGAUGACGUCAAAUCAGCACGGCCCUUACAUCCGGGGCGACACACGUGUUACAAUGGCGUGGACAAAGGGAAGCCACCUGGCGACAGGGAGCGAAUCCCCAAACCACGUCUCAGUUCGGAUCGGAGUCUGCAACCCGACUCCGUGAAGCUGGAUUCGCUAGUAAUCGCGCAUCAGCCAUGGCGCGGUGAAUACGUUCCCG
rnacentral:rRNA from 1 species